UUGUGCUAUCCUCGCUGAAAAUCGAUUGGUUAAGGCUCACAGACUACAAACUACAAAAAACCUGAGCCUCAACCAAAAAAUGCGUUUAUUUUUUCAUUAUUUUCUCGAUUUUCCUACAAAAAAAAAUAGAAUUUCGAUAAAUUGUUUCUA
ensembl:ncRNA F28D9.5 ncRNA